UGCGUUUUUUAGUUGUCAACCGCAAUCAAUAUUCUCAUCCUUUUCGUAUAUAAUUUGUUGUUAAGUCGACGAAGUCGUCCUUUUGAUAUUACGUCUAUUUCAAUGUCCUUGAUUAGUUACUAAUUCACCAUCUGGAUUUUGUUUUGAUCAAGAUUCUACUACAGUCCUCUCGCUUUAUCUUCGUCCGAAUGCUCCAAGCGUGAGUGUCUGUGCGGUCGAAUCGACAACCUAGCUUUCGUGCCAUACAGGCCCAUGUAUGUUGGCUUUCACAUGAAAUUCUUGCAUCCUCUCCUCUAUUUUAACAUUCUGCCCAUGCUGUGGCCGUGUAUAGUAGAACUGAACGGUAGUCUUGCGAUUUAGGAGAAGCUAUAGUUGCCAUCAGCCAUAUCGCACUAUCCUUUUGCAGCGUAUGACUUUCUCUCGUUGAUUUUCGUUCUGCACAUUUCAUUUUGCUUCGCAACGCUUGCAAACGAUGGUGCAAGAUUUUGCACUAUAUUUUGGUCUCGCGUACCGGGAGAAUAUUUUCUUAUCGAAGCUUCUGCUUCAUGUCCUAUAUUAUUGAUCGCCGGCAGUCUUCAGUGAAGUUGUUUUGGUUCGAGUAGCCGCAUAAUUUUAGGACUGAGCUUUCAAGUCUUGCGCGUGAAGUUUGGUCUAUCAACCCAUUUUCUUUGAGCUUUCUUCACUGUCUUCGGAGUAAUGGAGUCACUCGAUGCACCUCGUUCUUGCAAAAAUGCUUGUUUCGUGACUCUGCACUAGACAUUCCUUUGCUUCUUCCUCAUACAGACUGUUCAAGUCUGCCCGGACUAGCUUGGACUCCUUAUAAAACUAGUAGUCCAUGAAUGGUUCUCGUGGCGUCCUACGCUUCCAAAUUGGCAUCAUCAUUGGAGCGUACAAAUCUACAUUCACUCCGAGCGCUUUCGCUGCAAUCAUGUGAACAUAGACCGUCUGGCAGAAUCCUCGCAAACCUUUGAAGUCAUCAGGAUUUUUGACUGGUUUUUAACUUGAUCAAUGCAUUCAUGGGAGUUUCCUUCAAAUGUUCAUUACGUUAUUCUUCCUUCAAAAGCUAAGCAGCUGUCUAGUAACUAUCGCAGUACUGCAGGCCAUAAAUCAGUGCAGCUGCCUUCCCAUCAAAGGCAAAGUAGUGGAACUUGUGACAAAUUCUGUCGAAGAUGAAUUGCGGUUUCAAACUGUCUCCAAAGUCUUUGCCACAUCAACUUGUUGCCGUCAAACAUUAACAUCUUUAGUUUAGGCAGUUUCACGUAACUGCCAUGAUCCGGGGACCGAUUGACUGACCCUGCCUCACUUUCUGUUGCUGCAUUAUCGCGAGCAUUCGUCGUUAGCCAGCUUAUUUAUACUGGGCUAUCUUUCAAAUUGUAAUUACCUUCAUGCCACAUUCCAUUACUUUCUAAAAUUCGUCGGAGGCUGUUUCCUCGAUGACGAACGUCUCCAUCUGUGCAUUUGUGGCUCGACAACUGUUAUGCCCUUAUUUGACUAACGCUCGUGAUUACAGAACCUACGUCGUCUCCAUCACUCAUUUUUCUUUCUGUCUCUAAUGAGGUUUAUUAUCUCCAUUCUCAGUUUCCCCCACUCGCGAAACCUUUCUAUUCAUGUUCAAAAUACAGGCUUACGUUCACAAAGUAGCGAUGGCUUCUAUUCUCUUUUGCGGCUGCUCUCAGCUCCACGGCGUCCGUUCCCGAUUGCCAAUCGGAUGACAGCUAGUUUUUUUUUUCUUCACUGUUGUCCUUCUCUGGCAAGGGUCGAUUUCGGCCCACAAGGCCACCCACCCAGCUCCUGCACAUUGACUCGCCGGUCUACGCUCCAGAGGAGAUUACUUGGCGCACGAGCACCACCCGUUCCAGGAGCGACUGUCAUCACUUCCACAUUAUCUCGCCGAUGGCGCCCUGCUGGCACACUGGACUGUCCUCCUCUCCCUGCAGUACUACUGGUUCUGAGCUCCUGCUUUUGAUUGCGGCCCCCAAGGACACCCAGCCCGCUCCUGCACAUACUCUCCGGUCUACGCUCCAGAGGAGAUUACUUGGCGCACGAGCACCACCCGUUCCAGGAGCGACUGUCAUCACUUCCACAUUAUCUCGCCGAUGGCGCCCUGCUGGCACACUGGACUGUCCUCCUCUCCCUGCAGUACUACUGGUUCUGAGCUCCUGCUUUUGAUUGCGGCCCCCAAGGACACCCAGCCCGCUCCUGCACAUACUCUCCGGUCUACGCUCCAGAGGAGAUUACUUGGCGCACGAGCACCACCCGUUCCAGGAGCGACUGUCAUCACUUCCACAUUAUCUCGCCGAUGGCGCCCUGCUGGCACACUGGACUGUCCUCCUCUCCCUGCAGUACUACUGGUUCUGAGCUCCUGCUUUUGAUUGCGGCCCCCAAGGACACCCAGCCCGCUCCUGCACAUACUCUCCGGUCUACGCUCCAGAGGAGAUUACUUGGCGCACGAGCACCACCCGUUCCAGGAGCGACUGUCAUCACUUCCACAUUAUCUCGCCGAUGGCGCCCUGCUGGCACACUGGACUGUCCUCCUCUCCCUGCAGUACUACUGGUUCUGAGCUCCUGCUUUUGAUUGCGGCCCCCAAGGACACCCAGCCCGCUCCUGCACAUACUCUCCGGUCUACGCUCCAGAGGAGAUUACUUGGCGCACGAGCACCACCCGUUCCAGGAGCGACUGUCAUCACUUCCACAUUAUCUCGCCGAUGGCGCCCUGCUGGCACACUGGACUGUCCUCCUCUCCCUGCAGUACUACUGGUUCUGAGCUCCUGCUUUUGAUUGCGGCCCCCAAGGACACCCAGCCCGCUCCUGCACAUACUCUCCGGUCUACGCUCCAGAGGAGAUUACUUGGCGCACGAGCACCACCCGUUCCAGGAGCGACUGUCAUCACUUCCACAUUAUCUCGCCGAUGGCGCCCUGCUGGCACACUGGACUGUCCUCCUCUCCCUGCAGUACUACUGGUUCUGAGCUCCUGCUUUUGAUUGCGGCCCCCAAGGACACCCAGCCCGCUCCUGCACAUACUCUCCGGUCUACGCUCCAGAGGAGAUUACUUGGCGCACGAGCACCACCCGUUCCAGGAGCGACUGUCAUCACUUCCACAUUAUCUCGCCGAUGGCGCCCUGCUGGCACACUGGACUGUCCUCCUCUCCCUGCAGUACUACUGGUUCUGAGCUCCUGCUUUUGAUUGCGGCCCCCAAGGACACCCAGCCCGCUCCUGCGCAUACUCUCCGGUCUACGCUCCAGAGGAGAUUACUUGGCGCACGAGCACCACCCGUUCCAGGAGCGACUGUCAUCACUUCCACAUUAUCUCGCCGAUGGCGCCCUGCUGGCACACUGGACUGUCCUCCUCUCCCUGCACUACUACUGGUUCUGAGCUCCUGCUUUUGAUUGCGGCCCCCAAGGACACCCAGCCCGCUCCUGCGCAUACUCUCCGGUCUACGCUCCAGAGGAGAUUACUUGGCGCACGAGCACCACCCGUUCCAGGAGCGACUGUCAUCACUUCCACAUUAUCUCGCCGAUGGCGCCCUGCUGGCACACUGGACUGUCCUCCUCUCCCUGCAGUACUACUGGUUCUGAGCUCCUGCUUUUGAUUGCGGCCCCCAAGGACACCCAGCCCGCUCCUGCACAUACUCUCCGGUCUACGCUCCAGAAGAGGUUACUUGGCGCACGAGCACCACCCGUUCCAGGAGCGACUGUCAUCACUUCCACAUUAUCUCGCCGAUGGCGCCCUGCUGGCACACUGGACUGUCCUCCUCUCCCUGCACUACUACUGGUUCUGAGCUCCUGUUUUCGAUUGCCGCCCACAAGGACACCCAGACCGUUCCAGCACACCGACUCUGCGGUCUACGCUCCAGAGGAGAUUACUUCGAGCACCACUCGGCCUGUGACCAACCAUGUUUGCAUUCCUACAUUCUCUAGCCGAUGGCGUCCCGCUGGUAUACUGGAGCUAUCCUGGAGUCCUUGCACUUGAUUAUGGUUGCGAGGCUGUUAUCGCUUUUGGCGCAAGAGAAUUGUUCCAGCACGCUCAUUUACAAGAACACUCCUGGCCUUACCUCAAUAGCUACAAUCUUCAGCCAGAUCGUACUGCCGCACUCUAUACAGCCCACUUCCUGUGACCUGUGAAGGAGUCAUAAGCCUUCGUCUUGGCUGUGUCCUGCAAUGUGUUGGCGGCGUGUUAAGGCUCUGAAGGACUGCCUAUCGUCGCCGUCCUGCGACUGUACAUAUGUUUUCACUUUUUUACACCCAUAUUAAGUUUCGUAUAGCAAGCGUUUCUGAUUUGAACGACGGUACGCCGCUCAGCGAAUGUACGGCGCUUCUAGCAAUUAAGAUAAUACGAAGCAGAACAGUAAG
rnacentral:lncRNA from 1 species